rnacentral:lncRNA from 1 species
GGCUCAACUACUUAAUGAUUUAUUGGAGGGGAGGAGGAAAAUCAACAUCUUUUUUUUUUUUCCAACUACAUUGAGAUAUAUUUGACAUAUAACAUUGUGUAAUGUCUGUGAAAUAAUUACCACAAUAAAGUUAGUUAACACAUCCAUCACCUCUCAUAGUUACAUAGUUAUCUUUUCUUUUCUGGGGAGAACAUUUAUGAUCUACUCUCAGAGUAAAUUUCAGAUGUCUGAUAUAGUAUUGUCAUCUACAGGCACCAUGCUGUAGACCCCCAUCUUAGAUCUCCAGAACUUAUUCAUCUUAUAACAGGCAAUUUGUACCCUUUGAUCAUCCUUACUCAUUGUCCCCACUCCCCAGCUCCUGGCAGCCGCCAACCUACAAUUUGUUUUUAUGAGUUCAUUUUUUUGUUUGUUUUGUACAUUCUACCUAUAAAUGAGAUUAUGUAAUAUUUAUCUUUCUCUUAUUUCUUUUACUUGGCCUAAUGUCCUCAAGAUUCACUCAUGUUGUCACAAAUGACAGGAUUUCCAUAUUUUAUAUGACUGAGUAAUAUGCCACUAGAUUAUAAAUACGUGUGUGUGUAUUUCUUAUUAUACGCACACACACAUAUAUACAAACACACCACAUUUCUUUAUCCAUUCAUCCAUCGAAGGACACAGGUGGUUUCUAUGCCUUGGCUAUUUGUAAAUGAUAAUGCAGUGAACAUGGGGGUGCAGCUAUCUCUUUGAGAUAGUGAUUUCACUUUCUUUGGAUAUAUACCCAACUAUUUAACUUUUAUCAAUGUAUGGCCAGUCUGGUUUCAUUUGUACCCACCAUUCACUCAUUUCUAACUUGCUGGAUUAUUCUGAAGUAAGCUCAUGCAUUGUAUAAUUUGCAUGCAUCUAUAAAUAUUUCACUAUGUGUCUCUAAAAGUAGAGCACUGUUUUUAAAGCACAAUAGCAUUAUUACCCUACAAAUAUUUACAGCAGUUUCCUAUUCUCAUUAAAUAUCCCUUAAUUGUGCAAAUUCUCCUGAUUGCCUCAUUUUUUUAAAAGUUAAUUUGUUAGAAUGAGGAUGUAAACAUAGACUACACAUGGCAUUUGGUGUCAUAUAUCUAAAAUCUCUUUCAAUAUGUAGUUUCCUCUUCUUUUAGUUCUUUGCAACUUGUUGAUCAAAAAGUUGCCCUUUAGUGUCUGUCUCAUUCUGGAUUUUACUGAUUUCAUUCCUAAAGUAUUGGUCAUGUUCUUCUUUACUGGCAUUUCCUGUAAACUGAGAGCGUCACUGAAAUGCUACAUUUGGAUGCUUUUCCUUACUUAUUUUAGCAGAAUUCAUUCAUAAAUUGUAUUGUAUACAUCCCUCCAGGAAGCACCUAGAAAGCUUGACUUUAUUAUGGCUUAAGUGGAAGAAGGUUUGUGAUUUUACUAGUAUUUCCUUAUGGUUGCAUCAUCCAGGAAUCAAAUAUUUCAAACUCAUAGGUUAGAAUUUAAUAUAUCAUGAUUUCAUGAUAUUUCAAAAAGAGCACCUUCACCUUCAGUGAUUCCACCCAGUGAGCAACUUUGAGCACCAUUACUCUCGUGAAUGUCAAACUAUGGAUUAUUCCACUCAUCUGCCUGAAGUUGGAUUAAAUUAUGGAGAAAUUCCAAGGGAAGCAGCCUUAGAAUAAACACAAAGUACACAUGUAGACCUUCUCCAAUCUAAAAUAAUCCCAUCAUUCUCAGAGAAGAAUGAGGAACAUGGCGUUAGAACUAUAUAUUUGUGAUGACCCUUAGCUUUAUAAGAACUUCAGAGAAGACUGAUGUGGAUGAAAUUACAGGGACAAUUCAAAGCAUCAAAAUUGUCUUGUUGGUGGAGCAUGUGAACCAUUCUAGCCUACUCUAAGGAGACAGUGCAACUCUGUCACUAUCUUGAAAUGUAGAGUUGAGAUAAAAAUAUGAAGACAUUAUAUGAAAUAUCAGUUGUCCUUUAAAAACAGAAGGAUGUGUAUAAUCUUGGGAAUGGAAAUAGAAGCAUGUGAUUGUUUAUGGACUUUCAGAAAUGUAUGACUUUUUAAACAGCCACCUCUAUGUUUGUCGUUUUAAUUCCUCAUAUGAAAACAAAAAAAGCUGGAAAAUCAGGGAAUGCUAAUUUAUAGUUAGCUCAUUAUUGACAGCACUUGAAUCUCAUAUCUCUUGACAGACAUGAAAAGGAUCUACCUUUUCACUAUGUAUUUAUUGGAGAGAAAUAAAUAACAGCUAGUUUUCCAUUUGUAUGGAUGAUUUGAGUUCAAAGUCAACAUCUUUUAUGUAAAAUUCUCCAGUUAUUCACAUUGCUAAAAUUAGACCCAUAUUCUAUUUUGAAGCUGGGAGAAUAUCUUACUUAGACUCUGAGAACUGCAUUACCUUAAUGAGUUAUUUUCAAGUUCUAAGGUUCCCCAAAUCUAUUUUUAUUCCAUAUUAAGAAAUUUGAGAGGUUUUUCCAAGAUGUUACAUAAAUCUACAAAAUGAAAUGUGGGAGUCUAUGACCCACUUCUGAUACUUCUAUUCUUCCUACUACCUUCACCCCCAAAGUAAGAACAGAGACAUACUGCUUCGUUAUAUCAUUGUUAACCAAUUUUAAAAGAAUUUUCUGUUUUAAUUAAGAUACUUAAGCUAGUAUGUCUUUUUGUGGGUGGGGCUUCACCCACAACAUGGAGGUUCCCAGGUUAGGGGUUGAAUCGGAGCUAUAGCUGUUGGCCUUCCCCACAGCCAUAGCAUUACAGGAUCUGAGCCAUGUCUGCAACCUACACCACAGCUCAUGGCAAUGCCAGAUCCUUAACCCACUGAGCAAGUGACCAAGCCUGCGUCCUCAUGGAUGCUAGUCAGAUUUAUUAACCACUGAGCCACAAUGGGAACUCCUCUAAUAUGCAAUUUUUAAGUUAUUAUUUCACAUCAUGUCUUACCUGUCACAGUUAGGAACCUGGGGCAGGCUGAGCCUUUAGAGCAAAACUAUGAUGUUAUUGUAACACAAGGAUAGCCCAAGGCAACCCCAAACUUAUAAUGUCUCUGUAGCAAUAGCAAUAAGAUAUUCUGGGCAAAGUUGGACCAGGAUUUAUUACACUUCUCAGUUGGGAUUCUUAUUAUUUUAUUUCAUAUUUCAUAGUAUGUCAGGUCCAUGAAAUUACCUCUUUGAAGUAAGAUGCUUUUGUGCUGCUUGCUCUGACAAUAAUUUGUCUGAUUAGAAUAUUAACAGAAAUGUGUGAAAUGUAAUGUUCCUUAUUCCAAGAAACAGGUUAGUUUCUACUUGUUCAAUAAUCCCCACACUCUAAAAGUUUCACUCAAGAAUAGAAUUAAAAUUUGGUUCAGUAUAAAGAAAUGCCAAUUACUCAGGAAGCCUCAGAGUAUAUAUUUCAUGAGCUGUUGAUGUGACAUUUAUUGAUAUAACAUGAAAAGUUUUCAUGAAAUGAAAAUAAAUGUAUUUUGCAUUAAAUUGUUAAGUGUGUGGUUUAUGUUCUUGUAUGACAAUUUUAGGUUUUGUUUAAAUCCAUUUAGGAAUCAUUUGAAAAAUCUUUUGUGGAGUUUGAUUUGUGACCAAAUACCAGUUCUUAUGGUUCAUCAGUGGUAGAACGUCUUUUUAGAGAAAAGAUACUUUCUACUAACAUUUGAAAGUAAGUAUUAUUCCUUAAUUUACCCUGAUAAUGACAAAAACUUCUAAGGGAAGAUGUGAGCCAGCACUAUAUAAAUGUAAAUGUUCUCUCCUAAAGCAUUCCUCCCCCCACCCCCCGGUAAUUUAAGUAAAGCAAAAGUAACAGAUUUUGUAAGAGCCAAAUUGAAAGACUUGACUUAUUAACUAUGGAAGCUUGCCUCUAUUGGAUACUACUUUGGGGAAAUAGAGACCAUAAAAUAGCAGAAGCUUAGAGUCUGAAGAUAUCUUAAGAAUCAUCCACCUUCUCUCCUGAGGCUGGAAUCCCUUAACAAUACAUCUGACUUAUAACACUCUAUACUAGGAGUAAACGUUUUCAAAAGUAGAGAGCUUACUGCCUUCAUAGGCAACUUAUGAUAUAUUUGGGUAGCUCUAAUUUUUAGAAAAUUCUUUCUGACAUUGAGCCAAAGUUUCUCUUUCUAACAAUAGCAAAUAUGUCUACAUGACAAUACUUUGAAUAUUUAAAGUCUAUUUUCACACCCUUCUCCAUGGAUUUUUUAUUUUUUAGGGAACUCCUAUACUUUUAAUUUGGAAAUAAUUUUAAACUUACAGAGAAAUUAUUCCUGAGUUGCUGUAGACUUUUUACCUAACUUCCCCUAAUUAGCAUCUUGUGUAAACAUAGUAAAAUGAUCAAAAUGAAAAAAUUAAUAUUGAUACAAUACAGCACUGGGAACUAUGUCUAGUCACUUAUGAUGGAGUAUGUUAAUGUGAGAAAAUAGAAUGUGUACAUGUAUGUGUAACUGGGUCCCCAUGCUGUACAGCAGAAAAAAAAAUUGUAUCGGGGAAAUAACUAUUAAAAAAUAAUAAUUACAAAAAUAAAAUAAAAUAUUGAUACAACACUACUAAUUAAACUACAAAUCUUCUUAAAAUUUCAUCAGAUUCUCCUCUAAUGUCCUUUUUAUUCUCUAGUAUCCAAUAGAGGAGCCCAUAUUGGAUUCAGUUGUCAUGUCUCCUUAGUGUCCUCCAAUCUGCAAUGGUUCCUCAGCCUUUCCCUAUCUUUCAUGUUCUUGACACUUUCCUCCAUAGGUUUUUAAUAUGCUAGAAUACACUUUUAAGGAUUAUAAAAUGACCGUAUUAUUAUUAUACAUCUGCAUGGAGUUAAGGGUGUAGUCUUCCAGUCCAUCAAGUCUGCCCAAGAUUUUAUAGCCUAAUGACAGAGGAGUUAGUGUUCAACUACAAAGUUAAAUGAAAGAGCCCACACAAGACCACCCUUACUACUGAAAGUUCAGGGUUUCUGAAAUCUACCUUCGAGUUUGAUCAUUCACCAGUGGCUCACAGAACUGAAACCUACUAUACUUAUAGUUUCAGUUAUUACAGGGACAUGAUACCAAACAUCAGCCAAAGGAAGAGAUACACUGCAGAGUCUGGGAGGCUUUCAAAUAGAAGCUUCCAUCAUGCUCAGAAUGUGUUCCCUUUCUUCUAAGUUAUUAUGUGUGACAGCACACAUAGGAUAUUGCCAGCAGGGGAAGCUCAUGUGAGUGUCAGCAUACAGAGUUUUUAUUGGGGCUUUAUUACCCAGCCAUGAUUAAUUGAUUUACCAAGUUGUCCAAAAGGUUCACCACGAGUAAUAGAAACUCUUAUCACUUGGAAAAUCCCAAGGGCUCAGAGUUUACCUCCCAGGAGCCAAGUAUAAAGGCCAGACCUCUCCUGAGUAAGGUCAAAUUCCUCACCAGGUAGUAUCAUUUACUAUUUUCUUGGAGAAAAGACGUCCCUUCCUUAAUAUUACAUAAAAUGUAGUUUCUGGAGCUCAAUAUAUCUUGCUUGCAUUUCUCUAGAUAAUCCCUAAUUUAUUAAUGUCUUCUUCCGGGUUCCAGAAACUUUGGGUAUCUUUGGUAACAAAAUAUAUACUUCCUAUCACUUGUCUUCAAAAUCCAUCUCUAGGUUGACAUAUUUAAUCCCUAUUAUGAAGUGUGAAAUAAUACUUUGGACUUGAGGGUUAGGCAGACAAGGGGGAUCCUGACAUUUAACAGCCAUUAGACCUUGUAAAAGUUAUGUAUUCUUUCAUGCUUCUAUUUCCUCAUAGAUACAAAGUUAAUAAUAGUCCCUAUAUUACAGGAACUAAUUGAGAAUACAGAUACAAUCUUUAAUGUAUCAUAGGCGCUUAAUAACUAUUAGUUCUCUUCUGGAAAAAAAUACUACACAAUGUAAAUUGGUGUUUGAGGGAUAUCUUAUACAAUGUUGCCUACCAAGUAGUCUAUGCUAGAUGUAUGCAUACAUUAUUAAAACAAGAACAGAAUGCAUUCAAUUCAUCAAAUAUUUAUCUGAAUCCAGCUGAGAAGCAUAAAGCCUUAUGCUAGUGACAGAGAGAGAAAAUAGAUAGUUGCUGCCUUCCUGGAGAGAGAAUAUUUUCAUGAAUAUCUUUGAUAUAAGUAAACUGGAAUAGGUGUUGAGUUAAGGCUAUAUCCUGUGCAACAGUGGAAGCAUGAGAGAGAAAGAAAUUCUGAUUGCAGUUACUAGAGAAUGUGACUCUAAGAAGAUGAUAUGUCACUGACAGCCCAGAGCAUUAGGAGGGUUUUGAUAGCACUUUUAAGAAUAGUUAAUACCAUUUUUCAGAACUUUUGAAUGAAUUUACUUAAUAGCAAAGUGAAUUUCACAGCAAGAUGUAAAUAAAUUUAUCAUAUGUAUCAGAACAAAAUAUAAAUAAGAUGGUUUUAUAUCAGCAAUGGGUUCUCUAAAAUAAGUAUCAGUAUAAGAAAAAAGUUAGCUGAAAGCUUAAUCUUUGUAUUAAAAGUAACUUGUUAAAAUUAAAAAAAAA